ACCUAGGAUAACUCAAUUGGUAGAGCAUGAGACUCUUAAUCUCAGGGUUGUGGGUUCAAGCCCCAUGUUGGGCA